AUAGGCUUUCUGUAAACAUUAUGAUUAGAGUAUGAAAAGUCUGUAAAAUGUAGAUUUCACUAAAGUUACUGCAGAAUAAUAAACUUAGCAAAAUGCUAAGCCCUGGAAGUCACUGCUAAGAAAGGCUGGUACAUCUGUGAUCACAUCAUUGUUGGUGUUUGUCUUUCAGAAGUGUCUCAUCAACAUGACCUCCUCUCAGCCCAAUGUGACUGUGGUUCUGCACAUCAUGUCUGCAAAAAUAGCAGACACUGGGAAUUACAGCUGUAGCACUCAUCCAGAUUAUAAAACAGUUGAUGCAAUUAGUCCUCUAGUCUACAUUCAGAUAACAGGGUCACAGGCAGCGUUUCAGCCCAUCUCAACUGUCAGUGUUCAAGAAACACCAUCUGACUAUGAAGAGUCACCAGGCCAUCACAGGCAAGGCAGCCAGUCAACGCCAUCCACCCCGACCACAGUGAGCAACCAGAAGCUUUGCAGCACAGACCUACAUAACAGUAAACCAGAUCUCUAUAUUUCUAGUAAGUUUCAACUUUUUUCUGUUACAUAUUUUGCUAAAACAGGUCAUAUGCAUUAUGAAUGGUUAGUGUCGCUGUAACACUAAUGUAGAAUCACAACCAUGUCUGUUAUUCAGCAUGUCAGAAAGACGGGAGGAGUGAAAUCUGUCUGUCUCUCUGACCAGGAAUUAACACAAAUACACAAACACAGCAGCAUCUCUUUGGUCUUUGCCACAUCAUUGUUAUUUUUGCACUGAUCACAAGCUCCUCCACCUCCCUCCUGUACAAAGCUUUACAGUUGUUGGAGAUUGAUCUAAAGCUGUAGUAUUUUAUGAAAACCUCACAAUUUCUGGAUCCCUUGCAGACCAAUCAUACAGUGCCAAAGUAUUAACCCCCUUCAUAGUUUUACUGUUUUACUGCCUUUACAAAUCAAUCAUGAUUAACAAAAUAUUUUGACAAAGAAAAAA